GGUGAGUGGCGGACGGGUGAGUAACACGUGGGUAACCUGCCCAAAAGUGGGGGAUAACAUUUGGAAACAAGUGCUAAUACCGCAUAACAACUACUUUCACAUGAUCGUAGCUUGAAAGAUGGCUCUGCUAUCGCUUUUGGAUGGACCCGCGGCGUAUUAGCUAGUUGGUGAGGUAAUAGCUCACCAAGGCAAUGAUACGUAGCCGACCUGAGAGGGUAAUCGGCCACAUUGGGACUGAGACACGGCCCAAACUCCUACGGGAGGCAGCAGUAGGGAAUCUUCCACAAUGGGCGAAAGCCUGAUGGAGCAAUGCCGCGUGAGUGAAGAAGGUUUUCGGAUCGUAAAACUCUGUUGUUGAAGAAGAACAUGCGUGAGAGUAACUGUUCACGUACUGACGGUAUUCAACCAGAAAGCCACGGCUAACUACGUGCCAGCAGCCGCGGUAAUACGUAGGUGGCAAGCGUU
rnacentral:rRNA from 1 species